AUUACGUAUGAAAGGAGAGAAGGCUAGCACUCCCCUCGAUAAGGAUGGAAAGGGCCCUCGUGGCCUUACAGCAUUGGUUGAGGCAUUGCCAUCUACUUAGUUGCAUCUAACCAAGUCUUUGG